CAGCCACCUUCCUGAACACAUGGGGAGUGGGAGCGCAUUAUCCCACGAUGAGCCAUCCCUACCUUCUGAGUGUUUCAAAGGCAGACAACUGGGGAAAAUUGGAACCAGCUUGGAUUUUGGCCUUGCUGCAAACGGAUUUCAAGGCUGCUCAUACAACCCACAGGCCCCCAGAAGCUGUCCUCGAGGCCCUUUGGCACGUACCUGGGGGUCCACAUCCCUCCCUGAGCAGUCCAGUAAGUGGGUGCCAGCCAGGCACCCCACUCAGCACCCUGGGGGUGUGGGGACCCCGGGAAACAGCCCCCAGCAAAAAGCAAUGCUACAUGCUUUUCAACAGGGAAUUGAAGGGACUAUUCCUCCCCCAUUUGGGGGUCACUUGGUUGCCACCAGCUUUGUUCCCAGACACAAGCACCCCCAUUUUGCUGGUGCCAAAGCCUGGCAGCGAGAAUAACCUUUAAAGGAGUCUAUAGGGGUAAAGGUGCCCAGAUGCUUUCCCUGUCCUCUGUCCACCAAGUGAAGUGCCCAGUGCUUAUCCAUCCCUCCUGCUCCCCAAAUCCCCCCAAAACAUUAUUUAAGGCUUAUUUUCCUCCCCUCCUCAACAACACGGGUCCCAGUGCGCCAGAGGAGGACAGCCGGUGACAAAGGAGGGCCCUGGCCGCACUUGGGCCACUUUCUUCCAAGUCUGGCUUGCUAAAUCCAGGGGGAGGCAGGGACCUGCGGGGCUGGAGUUGAGGAGGGAUGCGUUUUGAGCCGGGGUGGGCAAUGAGAUGCCGCUGCCUCCUGCGCGUCCCCGCUGCCCCCCGGUGCGGUGACUCAGCGGUUACGGAGAGCUGGGGGGGCGGGGGGGGAGCGCAUGGGGGGGGGGGGGUCCCCUUCCUCCCCUCUUUUCUCUCCUGAUGAAAAACGAUGCAAUUACGUUUCUGCAUGCUGAUCGGGAGAGUUCAAAUAACAAGCCUUAAACACGUUAUCAGGCGCUUGUUAAGGGGAAGGACGGAGGGAGGGCGGGUAAAGAUAAGGGGGGGGCGAACCCAGCCGCGCGGUGCGUGGCCGUGCCCGGUGGUUCGUGCCCCUCCGGUGGGCGCACAGCGUGUGCACGUCUACAUGUCUGAAUGUAUAUGCUCCAGGGAAAGCCUGCUAGAGGAGGAGGUCGGCUCUUCGGCCUGACCACCUCCCCCCCCCCCCGCCCCCGCACCCAGAAAAUGGUCCCACUUUAAAGCCAGCCCGACCCCCAGCACACCAGCAAAUCGCUGCCGGGAAAAGUUAUUUCCACCCCCGUCCCACUCCCUUUCCUUUUCCCCCUGCGGCCCCGGGGGGCAUCGACCCCCAUUUGGCAUCUCCCUCGCCCCACCAGGUCCCCGCCUCUGCCCCCCAACCCGGCCGCCCCCAGCCCUCGCAAAGGCUCGGGGAGCCGGACCGGGGCUGGAUGCGGAGGGGGAGGAGGGAAGAAAGGCGAGGACAUGAUGAAUAAUGUUAACUUUUGACUGUAGGAGUCAUGAUAGAGUUGAGCGAAGCUGCGGGGAAAUAUGUCAUUUAAUCCCGGGGCUACUGAAGUCCCUUUUAUCAAGCAUCGUGAUGCUGGAAUUACCCUGCUGUAAAAGCCGCUGAGUGCUUAAAAGUAUCCAGCACCGGGGAAAAAAAAAAAAAAAAAAAAGUAUAGAUGGGGAGGAACUGGUGUAAAAUGAUCGCACGGACAAACUAACCGCACGACCGUGAAAACCCCAAGCGGAUUAAAUAAAUAUAAAUACAUGUGCAUUAAAAAAAAAAAAAAAAAAAAAAUGCACGGUAAAACUGUAGCUGCUGCAUUCACGCAAGGAGAACAGACAGCAUGUGCAUGUUUGUGUGCAAUGCCAAAAAGAGCAGCCUUAAGGUUGACCUGCUGCAAUCUGCACUGAGCUCCUCAGACAAUAGACAAGUUCAAAUGUCAAAAAAUCUAAUAAUAAAAAACAGAGCUGCCAAACUGCACGAACUGUUUUCUGGUGUAGCACAAUUAUUCACCCUCUUAUCCACUAAGAGACUGCCAGUCCUUAUGCGCAUAAAAGAAAAUGUAUGUAAUGCAUAUGGAUCUUUCUUUCUUUCUUUUUUUCUUUCUUUCAUUCCUUUUUUUUUUCACGUGUGAAACGCUAUUGAGAUGGCAAGCACGCAAAUCAGAAUGAUAUCAUGUCUAAUAAAAGCGGGACUAAGGUUUUCACAGUCUUUUACAAAGGACUCCAACUUGUAAAUCCCCUUUUUAUGUUGCUACAUGCACGAUUAUUCUUAUAAAUAAAAAUCUACAUGUUCAAGGAGCCGGAUGGUAACUAUACAUCCCUAUGAUUUUAACGUCGGUGGGAGCUUUAGGUUUCUAUCAUAUGUAAUGCGUCUGCGUUGAGCUCAAGUCAACAGAUAGAUUGUUCCAUUCAUUUGGCAACUUUCAUUACAGUGCGUGCGAGGUGAGCCCUAAGCACGACACGUUGGGUAAUAUCGGAAUUAUGCAGCUGGGAGAGAAAGGACCUCAAUUUUAAAACCCAUCCAGUUUUGCAUGUGCGGUCCUGUGUUAUUGUUCUAAUUUAUUACAGAACCAGAAACGCUUUGUUAUGCUCAAAACAAUAAAUAAGGUUGGGAGCGAAGCCUUCAUAAUAAAAGGUAUGGGUAAAUGAGCCGCCUGCAUAUUGUGUUUAUCGUUAUUAUUGUAAGCCUUUAAAAGUAAUAUGUGUAUUUUCCUGUUUUCUCCAGAUUGGUUAGUCUAAUAUCCCUAGUGCAGCUAUCAGCGUGGUCAUAAGAACUCUGAACUACAGCAUGGGUAAGCUUGAAAAACACAGAGCAAAUCACAUUAGCCAAGAAUGCCACAUAGCUGGAACCCAGUCAACUCGGCGUUUUCAGCUGACUGCUGGAUUAUGCACGGCUGUGUUUUACAUAUAGCACGCUGUAUACGGAAUAUGUCUCGAUGUUUAACAUUUUCAUUUGUAAAUGCUAAUGAGGCAGUCGGUCUCCGCCGUUAUAUUAGGAGAUACCUAAGCGUUUCCCACUCUGAGUAAAUGACUACUCAAGACAG